rnacentral:rRNA from 1 species
CGCGUAGGUGGUUUGUUAAGCGAGAUGUGAAAGCCCCGGGCUUAACCUGGGAACGGCAUUUCGAACUGGCAGACUAGAGUGUGGUAGAGGGUAGUGGAAUUUCCUGUGUAGCGGUGAAAUGCGUAGAUAUAGGAAGGAACACCAGUGGCGAAGGCGGCUACCUGGACCAACACUGACACUGAGGUGCGGAAGCGUGGGGAGCAAACA